GAUGAACGCUGGCGGCGUGCCUAAUACAUGCAAGUCGAGCGAACAGACGAGGAGCUUGCUCCUCUGACGUUAGCGGCGGACGGGUGAGUAAUACGUGGAUAACCUACCUAUAAGACUGGGAUAACUUCGGGAAACCGGAGCUAAUACCGGAUAAUAUAUUGAACCGCAUGGUUCAAUAGUGAAAGACGGUUUUGCUGUCACUUAUAGAUGGAUCCGCGCCGCAUAAGCUAGUUGGUAAGGUAACGGCUUACCAAGGCAACGAUGCGUAGCCGACCUGAGAGGGUGAUCGGACACACUGUAACUGAUACACGGACCAUGCUCCUACGGGAGGCAGCAGUAGGGAAUAUUCCGCAAUGGGCGAAAGCUUGACGGAGCAACGCCGCGUGAGUGAUGAAGGUCUUCGGAUCGUAAAACUCUGUUAUUAGGGAAGAACAAAUGUGUAAGUAACUAUGCACGUCUUGACGGUACCUAAUCAGAAAGCUACGGCUAACUACGUG
rnacentral:rRNA from 1 species